rnacentral:rRNA from 1 species
GUGCCAGCCGCCGCGGUAAUACCGGCAGCCCGAGUGAUGGCCGAUAUUAUUGGGCCUAAAGCGUUCGUAGCCGGCCAUUCAAGUCUGUUGGGAAAUCCACGCGCUCAACGCGUGGGCGUCCAGUGGAAACUGACUGGCUUGGGGCCGGAGGACUCGAGGGGUACGUUCGGGGUAGGAGUGAAAUCCCAUAAUCCCGCACGGACCACCGAUGGCGAAAGCACUUCGAGAAAACGGAUCCGACAGUGAGGGACGAAAGCCAGGGUCUCCAACCGGAUUAGAUACCCUUGUAGUCC